CAUCACUACGCUAGAUGCAUAUCAAUAAGCGGAGGAAAAGAAACUAACUAGGAUUCCCUCAGUAACGGCGAGUGAAGCAGGAAGAGCUCAAAUUUGAAAUCUUCAAGGUUCUACCUUGACGAAUUGUAGUUUAAAGAAGUGUUUUCUGUUGGAGUUUUGGUAAAAGUUCUUUGGAAUAGGACAUCAUAGAGGGUGAGAAUCCCGUAUUCGACCAUUACUUUCCAGCUGUGUGAUACACUUUCAAAGAGUCGGAUUGUUUGGGAAAGCAGUCCAAAAUGGGUGGUAAAUUUCAUCUAAAGCUAAAUAUUGGCGAGAGACCGAUAGCGAACAAGUACCGUGAGGGAAAGAUGAAAAGAACUUUGAAAAGAGAGUUAAACAGUACGUGAAAUUGUCAAAAGGGAAGCGUUUGACACCAGUGUUGUUUUUCCGAAAAUCAAUUACGAAUGUUUUGUUUUUGAGGAGUUAUGACUUCAUCGGCUUGCUCCUUUCUUUACGAAACUUUCUUAAUGCACUUUUCGGUUAACAAGUCAACAUCAAUUUCUUUUGUUGUAAAAGAGUCAUUGGAAGGUGGCUUUUUCUUCGGAAAAAGUGUUUAUAGCCUUGUGCCUCUACAAUCGGAGAGAUUGAGGUCCGCAGCGUAGAUCCUUCGGGGUUAGAUACAUUUGUGCUAAGCUAUAGUUCUUUAUAGACAACUUGUUGACUAUAAUCAAUCCUGUAACUUACUCGCUUAUGCUAUUUUACCUACGCUUAGGAUGUUGAAGAUAUGCGCGACACG
rnacentral:rRNA from 1 species